ncrna:unclassified sequences IS605-orfB-I RNA
ACCUUAUAUAGAUGUAGUGACGCAAGACAGUGACGCAUCUCCCUGUAAGGUGGUGUUUAUAUAGAAGUAUCAGUGAUAAGUUCUAUUGUGUGGCUUUUGAGUCGAAAUAGAAUGAGCUGAUAUGGAAUAGGUUAACUGUAAGACCUUGAGUUGAAAUACUCUAAAAUUGACCUAGAAAUGAAAUUUCUCGAAUUUCCUAAUUUCUAGUUACAGUAAG